rnacentral:lncRNA from 1 species
UAGAGCCAAAUUAUGAAGCUUGAAUUAUGAUUUGCAUGAUUAUGUUUAAAUGCAUAAAAAAAAGUAAAUUUUAUUUGAUAAUGCAUGUUAUAUGAUCAUAUAUGAACUUGAUAAUUUGCAUGUGAUUUAAAUGAUAUAAUUCUUGAUAUCAAAAACUGAAAUGUGAGUAGGUGAUUAAAGCAUGAAAUGGUAUGAGAAACAUGUAUUUGUAUUAAGAUGUAUAAUUCAUAACGUAUUUAGUUAGGCUUUUUAUCUCUAAAGGGUUCCUGUUUUCCCCCUCCCUCACUUGGUCUGAAAAGACUUGACAAAACUGGUUCUUGUGGAUU